rnacentral:rRNA from 1 species
UACGUAGGGGGCAAGCGUUGUCCGGAUUUAUUGGGCGUAAAGAGCGCGUAGGCGGUCCGGUAAGUCCGCUCUGAAAGUCCGGGGCUCAACCCCGGGAGGCGGGCGGAUACUGUCGGGCUAGAGUCCGGAAGAGGCGAGUGGAAUUCCCGGUGUAGCGGUGAAAUGCGCAGAUAUCGGGAGGAACACCAAUGGCGAAGGCAGCUCGCUGGGACGUGACUGACGCUGAGGCGCGAAAGCGUGGGGAGCGAACAGG